CCUUCUCAGCGCAGAGCCUGUCUCUCUUUCCCUGGGGUUCCGUGGAUCAGUCAGCAAGAUGGGACUUUGCCAGCCAGCUGGUUUCAGCUUCACCACCCCAAUGACAGCAGGGCAGUCCUGCAGCUCAAUGCAGCCCUACGGCUCUGCUCCUUUGCCAGGCUGGAGAGCUGAAUCAGCUGCGAUUCUGCAGAUCCUUCCCUGAGUCCUGCUGCUGACCACUGAUACUUGUGCAUGCUCUGGGCCGCAUCAGGACUGGAAAGAGGAGUAGCUAUCAGGCGGAAGGAUCUGGCCUUCUGCUGGGUGACAGCCACCUGCAUGGCCUGUUCCUGCUUUCUCUUUUCCCCAGGUGGCAUUGUGCUUCCCAAGCAGUGUGUGGACCUUUCUGAUGGGAGUGAGCAGCAAGGAACUGACUGAAUCAUGGAAUCACAAGGUUGGAAACGACCUGUAAGAGUCUCAGCUAUGGAGGUCCUAUAAGGGUCUCAGCUUCCUUCCUGCCCUGCGCUUGACUGAGGGACCCUGCAACCAGCUCAGGAGUGGCUCAGUGGGAGCUUGCAGAGGCAAAAAGCAGCUGGAGAUGGGCUCUACAGUUCUGUGCUGGUUUGCAGAUUCCUCAGGAGUUGUCCUGGGUCAUCUGGCUUCCACCAAGAGCGCUCCUCUUCUCUCCACAGAUCACAUCCCAGGUGCUGUCUGUCUGUCUGUGGUAGAUUCCAGAGCAAGGAGGCCUCUCCAUGCCAUCUCUGCACAUUGAUUUCAGCCUGUGGCACCCCCAUUGGGACACACGGAUGCUCCAGGAAACAGCUGUGAACCCUGGGGCUGGAAUGAAGAUGCCAAAAACAAUGCAGAAAACAA